CUACAAUUUAUUCUGAAGUCAAAAUCAAUUAUGUCGAGAAGCUUUCAUGAGUAGAUUCUAUGAGCAAACAUGCAUGAUAAAUGAUUUCUCUUUGAGUUUAAUACAUAAGAUCUUAACACAUGACAUGUUAUAAUUAUAUAGCAUGUAACAUAUACUACUUCGUGCAUAUUUGGAUACAUGGUGGACAAAAAACUAAGGUGAUCGAAAAUCACGAUAAAUAAAAGCAACUUCUCUUAGCUUUUGUGACUGUUCACUGUGAUUUUUCAUUCACCAUGGCGGUGUAUCCAAACAUGCAGUUAGUGAGAAAAGUAUUUUGCUUGUUGUAACAUGCUAUUUCACCACCCAAUCAGUGCUCAUAAUUAAAAGUGCAGUAAGAUGAAGUUUUCAAUUUUCACCCAUUACAGUAGUGCUCAAUUCCAGCACUUUUAUGCUCUUAAAUGUGCCAACUAUGCUUUAUCUUAAGUCACAUCCUUUUUUCCCAUUCAGUACCUCAUCAUGCCCAUAUUAUCAUCAUCAAUGCUCUUUUUCCCCACACUUGCCAAUCUCUUGCACUUAAGUUGAGUUAAAAUGGAUGGUUGAUUUGGUGUAGGAAGUAAUGCUUGAAAGAAUUCCUUGUCAUACGAAAAAAUGGGGUGCUCUUACUCUGCAUACAGGAAGAAGAAAUCAAGCUUUCCUGAAGUUGUGGUCUUAGUUCCAUCAACCAGAAUUCCAGUGCAAUCUGAUCUUCAAAGAGCACUUAAAGGAUUAGUUCCAAAGGACCUUGCUGAUAAAUUAUCUUCGCUUCGGAACCAGAUAGUGUUGGUAGCAGAAGAUACUGACGGAUCACCUAUACCUGAAUUGAGGCGAGCUUUGAAUGAAUACUUAUCGGUUCUGAUUGGACUCACUAAGAAAGAGUAUGGUCUUGAUGGAUUAAUAGAAUUCAAGUGGAAAAAUUUCAAUGAUGGAAGACAAGAUAGCAAUAUAGCAAAUGUCUGGUUUGAAGUGCUAUCUGCUGUUCAUUUUAUGGCUAUGCUAGCACUUUCAGAGGCUGAUUCACUGAUGAUUCCAAAGGAUCAUUCAGGCUCUGGAUUCAGGGUUGUAUCUUCAGAUAACAAGAGGGAAGCAAUUGAUUUGCUACUCAAGGCAUCAGGAUACCUGGAGUUCUGUCUCAGGCAUAUUCUUACUCGGAUGCCCGCCGAAACCAAGAAAAUUUUACCCCAAGAUUUGCAGCAAGGUGUUUUGGAGGCUAUAGCUAUUCAAGCACUGGGCCAGGGAACUGAGAUUCAGCUUGGUCUUGCUGUUGAAAGUCAGAAGGCAAGUUUGUCUGUCAAGAGAAGGUUGGCAUGUGAACAGCUGAUAUACUUCAGUCAGGCUUUUCACUGCUUGACUGGAUGUGAGUCAUGUGACUUGAACCAAGGGCAUGCAAAGAAACAUCUCAGGUUCAUCAAAUGGAAAUUCCUUGAAACCAAGGCUGCAGCUUACUACUACCAUGGUCUGAUCCUUGACAAAGGUAAUGAACCAAGUGGUCACAUCAGCGCAGUGUCUUGUUUUCUUGCUGCAGAAGAACUGCUAGCUGAAAGCAAGAAGGCCUGUUUGAGCUUUUGCCUUGCAGCUCCUGUGACAAGGGCUCCUCCACUAUGGGGUGCUAUGAAGCAUUUAAAUCAGAAAAUUCCUGAAGUUGCAUCAAGGAAGUCUCAGAUGUAUGGCUACCUCUUGGAGCAAGAAAAGUAGGGAGUUUUCUCUGUUACUACUCUGACAUUCUCAUUUGAUGUUCUAACUAAAUGCUUUACUACCUUGAAAUAUAAUGAUCCAUAUUAAGGGGUCUUCAAGCAUUGCCAGACCUACCAGAGUUCCAAUUGUCAUUACGUCCAGAUGAUUAUGAACUUCCUGAGAUUGAUCCAGCAUGGGAUAGUAAUCAUUGGGAAACUCUAGGACAACCAUUGAAGGAGCACCUUAG